GCCGUAAACGAUGUGCGUUAGGUGUGUCAGCGACCACGAGUCGCUGAGGUGCCGAAGGGAAACCGUGAAACCCACCGCCUGGGAAGUACGGUCGCAAGGCUGAAACUUAAAGGAAUUGGCGGGGGAGCACUACAACGGGUGGAGCCUGCGGUUUAAUUGGAUUCAACGCCGGACAACUCACCGGAUACGACAGCGGAAUGAUAGUCGGGCUGAAGACUCUGCUUGACUAGCUGAGAGGAGGG
rnacentral:rRNA from 1 species